UAACGCGAAGAACCUUACCAGGUCUUGACAUCUUCUGCUAACCUAAGAGAUUAGGCGUUCCCUUCGGGGACGGAAUGACAGGUGGUGCAUGGUUGUCGUCAGCUCGUGUCGUGAGAUGUUGGGUUAAGUCCCGCAACGAGCGCAACCCUUAUUGUCAGUUGCCAGCAUUUAGUUGGGCACUCUGGCGAGACUGCCGGUGACAAACCGGAGGAAGGUGGGGAUGACGUCAAAUCAUCAUGCCCCUUAUGACCUGGGCUACACACGUGCUACAAUGGACGGUACAACGAGUCGCGAAACCGCGAGGUCAAGCUAAUCUCUUAAAGCCGUUCUCAGUUCGGAUUGUAGGCUGCAACUCGCCUGCAUGAAGCAGGAAUCGCUAGUAAUCGCCGGUCAGCC
rnacentral:rRNA from 1 species